AGAGUUUCUGAUAACUGGUGAUGACGGAUGGGCCACGAAUUCUGGACAGGGGGUUGUGUCUAGAGCAUUAAAUGAGGAAGAAUGGUGAUAACCCUUUGACCUAGUCUACCUUUCUUGGGCUGGAUGAAGGGAAAACAUUGCUAUGGGCUUGGGGACAACAAGUCCGGACGAGGGAGCCCACUUGGUGACCCUCGUUGUCACCAAUGGUGAUCAGUACAAAGCUUAGUAGGACUAGAAGAGGUGAUCGUUGUCUUGAUAUGUAGACGUUGUAACAAUGAUCUCUACCGAAUUAGAGGUACAAUUUUAAUGAAAACAAACUUUCGAUUGAAGAUGGAUGUACGGUGAAUUACUUAACAUGCACCCAAACCACUAUAUAAAUCAGUACGUUCAUGUGGUGCUAUCUCUGGUUCCCUAGACCCUUUACUUAUUGUUCAUUAUCUUA
rnacentral:lncRNA from 1 species